UACAGAGGUCCCAAGCGUUACUGAGAAUCACUGGGUUUAAAGGGUGCGUAGGUGGUCCGUUAAGUCAGUUGUGAAAUCCCCGGGCUCAACCCGGGAACUGCUUCUGAUACUGGCGGACUUGAGGCCAGUAGGGUCACUAGAACUGACGGUGGAGCGGUGAAAUGCGUAGAUAUCGUCAGGAAUGCCGGUGGUGAAGACGGUGACUGGGCUGGUUCUGACACUGAGGCACGAAAGCGUGGGGAGCGAACGG
rnacentral:rRNA from 1 species